UUCGGAAUCUUGAGAGCGGCGCACGGGUGCGGAACACGUGUGCAACCUGCCUUUAUCUGGGGGAUAGCCUUUCGAAAGGAAGAUUAAUACCCCAUAAUAUAUUGAGUGGCAUCACUUGAUAUUGAAAACUCCGGUGGAUAGAGAUGGGCACGCGCAAGAUUAGAUAGUUGGUGAGGUAACGGCUCACCAAGUCAAUGAUCUUUAGGGGGCCUGAGAGGGUGAUCCCCCACACUGGUACUGAGACACGGACCAGACUCCUACGGGAGGCAGCAGUGAGGAAUAUUGGACAAUGGGUGAGAGCCUGAUCCAGCCAUCCCGCGUGAAGGACGACUGCCCUAUGGGUUGUAAACUUCUUUUAUACUGGGAUAAACCUACCCUCGUGAGGGUAGCUGAAGGUACAGUAUGAAUAAGCACCGGCUAACUCCGUGCCAGCAGCCGCGGUAAUACGGAGGGUGCAAGCGUUAUCCGGAUUUAUUGGGUUUAAAGGGUCCGUAGGCGGACUCGUAAGUCAGUGGUGAAAUCUCAUAGCUUAACUAUGAAACUGCCAUUGAUACUGCGGGUCUUGAGUAAAGUAGAAGUGGCUGGAAUAAGUAGUGUAGCGGUGAAAUGCAUAGAUAUUACUUAGAACACCAAUUGCGAAGGCAGGUCACUAUGUUUUAACUGACGCUGAUGGACGAAAGCGUGGGGAGCGAACAGGAUUAGAUACCCUGGUAGUCCACGCCGUAAACGAUGCUAACUCGUUUUUGGGUUUUCGGAUUCAGAGACUAAGCGAAAGUGAUAAGUUAGCCACCUGGGGAGUACGUUCGCAAGAAUGAAACUCAAAGGAAUUGACGGGGGCCCGCACAAGCGGUGGAUUAUGUGGUUUAAUUCGAUGAUACGCGAGGAACCUUACCAAGGCUUAAAUGGGAAUUGACAGGUUUAGAAAUAGAUCCUUCUUCGGACAAUUUUCAAGGUGCUGCAUGGUUGUCGUCAGCUCGUGCCGUGAGGUGUUAGGUUAAGUCCUGCAACGAGCGCAACCCCUGUCACUAGUUGCCAUCAUUCAGUUGGGGACUCUAGUGAGACUGCCUACGCAAGUAGAGAGGAAGGUGGGGAUGACGUCAAAUCAUCACGGCCCUUACGCCUUGGGCCACACACGUAAUACAAUGGCCGGUACAGAGGGCAGCUACUAUGCGAAUAGAUGCGAAUCUCGAAAGCCGGUCUCAGUUCGGAUUGGAGUCUGCAACUCGAC
rnacentral:rRNA from 1 species